UUUUAUCUCACUAGUUCAAUUAAAAGACUAAUCCCAUCCACCCUGACCCCCAUCACGCACAAAACAAGUUUGAGAGUUAAACCCAACUGCGUGGCUCCUUCUCCUCCUUCUCCUUAAAUCGAAAAUCCACCUCAAUCCAUAGCUUUAUAAAUUCUCUCACUGCUCAAUCCCUAGAUUUUUAGGGUUUCCAAUUUAUUCUGUCACACCAUCCAAUCCCUAUCUUUCUAGGGUUUCUGAUCUAUUCCUCUUUCUCGUAUUUUUUUUCUGACCAAAAUUAAUGGCUUCCAUCCGGAGACCCUAUAUCAGUGGCUUCAUAGUUUCAGAGAUUAGUUAGCGGAGUUGUUGGUUAGGAUAAGGGUUUGAUGAGUGAUCUGAAUGCAGAUCUGGAUUUGUUGAAGGAUUUUUCUGGUAUGUGAUUCUGGGUUUGUUCUUAUUUUCUUCUAGAUUGUUUUUUCUGAGUUUUUUUUUUAACAAGCUGGGUUUGUUUGUUAUUGUUGCUGUGGAUGAAUUUUUUGUGAUGUUUAGUUAUGAGAUUGUGGAUGUAUUUUGCACAGUGUUGAGCAACAUUAACUUCUUAUAUCGUGAGUCUCUUUAUCAACUUCAACUUAGAUUGAUUUUUCCCUAAAUUGUGCCAAAACCCUAACAUCAUCUUUCAUCCCAAACUAAAUUUCUCUGUUCUUGGCUCAGUUAGAAAUUUGAUGUUAAUUUGUCUGAUUAUUAAAUUUGCAUGUUUUUCAUAUUAUGUUCAACUUCAAACCUAACAAUAUUUGGUCAUAUUUAAAUGGCACUUUGUUGGUUUUUGGUAUGUAUAGGUUUUUUGUAAUUGUUUAUACUUUCUAGAUUCGUGUUUUGUGUUUGCCGGAUUUUGUGAAAUAUAGUGAUUACUAAAUUACUAAAUAUUAAUUACUAGUUAAUACUAGUAUGUAGAGGAUAGUGGUUUUAUGAAUGAGCCAAUUCAUCUUGAGUGAAAACUCAUGCUGAGUAUGAAUGAACCAAUUCAUCUUGACUAAAAACUCAUGAAAAAAGAUGCAAUGAUGUUGUGUAUGCUAUACAUUUUGGUAAUGCACUAAGAAAUAUAAACCAAUGAUGGGGGGACUUCUUUUCAUAAAUGGAACUGAGAUGUGAAGUUUUUGAUAUGUACAAUAUAGGUAGUGGUUGCAUUCUUCACAAUAAUGAGGAUAAUAUUGAAUAUGAAAUUGAUAUUGAAAUGCCAAAUUACUUGUUAUAUCUGGUUGCUCUUUUCCUUCCAAAAGAAACCAAUUGAUGAUCAAUUGUAUGAAAUGUUAACAUUUGGUGUAGGUGAAUAAUGCAGGACAACUAAGUGAGAAGAAACUGAAACAUGCUUUAAAACAAACUACUUUGGUGUAGGUGAAUAAUGCAACACAAUUACUAACUGUUAGGCAUUUCCUGACAAAUUAAGGCUUUACGGCCUUUUUAAUAUCUUAUUUAGGCAUAAUUUGGAGUGUAAUUAAAUUAGUAAUAGUAUAACUAUUUUUUGUGAUUCAUAGACUUGCUAUUUGAGUGAGUUGCCUACAAGGGAAGAAGAAUCAAAGAAUACUCUAAAUUGGACUGAAAUUUUCAUUUCACAGUUGAUAUAAUUUCUUCUAUUACAUACAUGAUUCAUGGGUGGAUUUCUUAAUCUAGUUUGUUAAUUGAUUUGGUUUUCUUGUUAGGAAAUGAACACCUUGAUUAAAUAAUGAAACAAAAAUGAUAUAGAAGUUUUGUGCAAGCUUAUUAAUGUCAAUUAACAUUGGAGAACUUGGCAUUUACUUUUAGCAAGAAAGGGGCAUAGCAGCCAAAAUCAAGUUAGCAUUCAUUAAUUCUCAACUCCAAGUAGGUAAAUGUACACAUGUUUAAGUGGAAAAAAUUUAUGUGCUUAUAUUUAAAUGCAUUUUGUUGUAAUAUGUAGAUAAAUUCUAUCCUUACCAAGCAAUUGAAAAUUGUGGUGCAGGAAGCAAUUUACUCUUAACAAAGUAAUUUUUAUUAGAAACUUCACUUGUCUGAUUGUGAGUUAUUUGCAAUUCAAUUUUUCACUGCUAAUUUCAUAUUGUCUACAUUUUUUAAGUUAUUCCUAACUUGUGUAUCUGACCUUAAAUUAUUUAAACCUAUCUAAUUGUUUGAUUUUAGCUCUUCUUUUAUUUAAUUUCAUUAUUCAAAUAGCUAUGUAGACACCACUGUGUUUGGUUUUGCAGCCCUCUACCUUCUAGAGGAAAUCUAGGUAUUGUUGUUUGUAUUUAAGAGUUGUGUGGGGCAGGUUAAAAGGAACCAUCACUUAUUCUCAUAAUCCUAAGAGAUAGUUCAAAUAUGAAAUUGAAUUUUCAAUGAAAUGGCUAGAUGUAAUUUGGUACAUUUACAUUAGAGAUGACAGUGAUACUCUAAUUUUGUAAUGGCAAUAUGCAUUCUAGUGGGUAUAGGGUGUCUUGUUUGCAUAAUUAGUGAGAUUGUAGUUCAGAUUUUGUUCAACUAUUGAUUAAUUUGGUGUAGCAGGUUUUACAUUGGAGCAAUAUGAUUAAAAAGGAUUACGAUCAAAGAAAUGUUGGAAUUGCUAAAGAUCAUUGAAAAGUAACAGAAGGCAUGUUACAGCUGCUUCUUCAUAUGAUUAUGCAACCAAGAUAGUGGGGGCAAUGAAAGAAAAUUUACUAUUUACACCAAAAGUGUCCAAUUUUAGUUGUAUUAUGGUUUUGAGAAAACAUUGUCUUAAUUUUAGUUGUAUUAUGGUUUUGAGUAGUAACCAUGACUUUAGGUGUUAUAUAGUAACCAGUACAUGUUGCUACUUUUAGUACCCAUAGAAAGGAGGUACUCUGCUAUGCAAUUAUGUAAUACUACAAACAAUUGAAUGAAGGAGUUCAUAUAUUUGCCUCACUUUUAUUUCAAAUAUAUAAUUUGAAUAUUAAAUUUGGUUAAAAUAUUUUCAAAAUUAUUAUCUUAAUUACAAA
rnacentral:lncRNA from 1 species